rnacentral:lncRNA from 1 species
AUUUGUGACAAAUUUUAGAAGUUUACAUGCGGACAACUAUGGUGGCAGAUAAAUGCCAUUUUGCGUUUUAAAUAGCGCUUUAGCGUUUUAGCGCUGUAGCGUUUUCCCCUUACAUAUCCUAUAGAGCGAAAAUGCGAAAACGCGAAACCGAUUUCUCGAUUUCGACUUCGCGUUUUCGCAUUUUUGACGUCGCGAUUGCGCCUUUUCGCGAUUUCGCGUUUUCGCCCUAUAGAAUAUGAAAGGCGAAAUCGCGAAAUGGAC